rnacentral:rRNA from 1 species
UACGUAGGGGGCGAGCGUUGUCCGGAAUCACUGGGCGUAAAGCGCGCGUAGGCGGCCGUGAGAGCCUGCCGUGAAAGCCCCUGGCUCAACCGGGGGAGGACGGCGGGGACCUUAGGGCUGGAGGCCGGUAGGGGAAGGUGGAAUUCCCGGUGUAGUGGUGGAAUGCGUAGAGAUCGGGAGGAACACCGGUGGCGAAGGCGGCCUUCUGGGCCGGGCCUGACGCUGAGGCGCGAAGGCGUGGGGAGCGAUCCGG